UUGGCGAAGCUGUGCUUGUACAGACGAGCCAAGGCGGACGGGUGAGUAACGCGUAAGGAACUUGCCCCGCAGACAGGGAUAACAGACGGAAACGACUGAUAAGACCUGGUAUUGUCAGGCUGACGCAUGUCAGACUGAUGAGAAGGAGACGCUGCGGGAGAGCCUUGCGUCCUAUUAGCUUGUUGGUGGGGUAACGGCCCACCAAGGCGAUGAUAGGUAGCCGGCCUGAGAGGGUGAACGGCCACAAGGGGACUGAGAUACGGCCCUUACUCCUACGGGAGGCAGCAGUGGGGAAUAUUGGACAAUGGGGGCAACCCUGAUCCAGCAAUUCUGUGUGCACGAAGAAGGUUUUCGGAUUGUAAAGUGCUUUCAGCAGGGAAGAAGCAAGUGACGGUACCUGCAGAAGAAGCGACGGGCUAGAAUACUGUGCCAAGCAGCCGGCGGUAAUACGUAUGUCGCAAGCGUUAUCCGGAAUUAUUGGGCAUAAAGGGCAUCUAGGCGGCCCUGUAAGUCUAGGGUGAAAACCUGCGGCUCAACCGCAGGCCUGCCCCGGAAACU
rnacentral:rRNA from 1 species